UAAAGAGGAUGAGAAAUUUCCAGUACUCAAGGUAUUGGCAAGAGACAGUUUCUGUGGAUGUUCCUCUUCUGAAAUUUUGAGAAUGGAGAGAAUUAUUUUGGAUAAGUUGAAUUGGGAUCUUCACACAGCAACACCAUUGGAUUUUCUUCACAUUAUGGAUAGCUCCCAGUUGAUCCACUGUGGGGAGCUUGUGGCACAUCACCUUUCUACUCUGCAGUCCUCCCUGCCUCUAAAUUCCGUUUAUGUCUACCGUCCCCUCAAGCACACCCUGGUGACCUGUGACAAAGGAGCGUUCAGAUUACAUCCCUCCUUUGUCUCAGGCCCAGAUUUCUCCAAGGACAACAGCAAGCCAGAAGUGCCAGUCAGAGGUCCAACAGCCUUCUGCCAUCAUCUCCCAGCUGCCAGUGGGUCCAAGCACACCUCUGCUAAAUGCAAAGUGGAGGAAAUAGAAGUGGAUGACUUCUAUGAUGGAGUCAAGUGGCUCUAUAAUGAAGAUAGUGCUGCAGAAAAUGUGGCUUCUGUGUGUGGCACUGAUUUAUCAAGACAAGUGGGACAUGUUUCCCCUUGUCCAUCUUUGCAGCCUGUUUCUGUCAUGUAGUUUCAACAUGUGUUACCUUCCAGUGCAAAUUAAGGUUGGCUACUUUGGGAACAACCUAUAAAACUAAGAAAGGCUAUGGAGGGAUAUAUACCUUAUAAGGCUGAUUUGAAGUGAGCCAGAAAAAAAACACACCCUCAUUUACUUGUGCAGUUAAUUAUAAUUCAGCAUUGUUUAAAGGCCAAAAAAUACCUACCAAAACAUUUUUAAAAAGUAGAUUUCUUUAUAGUAUGUCAGUUCUGUUCUUUUCUUUGCUAAAAUGUAGCUUUCCCCAUGUCAAAAAAUUACAAUAUUUGGAAAAAAUUCCAAAAUUCACACCUAUCAACUCCUUUCCCCAGCAUCUUGAUUUAUUUUCCC
rnacentral:lncRNA from 1 species